rnacentral:rRNA from 1 species
GAUGAACGCUGGCGGCGUGCCUAAUACAUGCAAGUCGAGCGAACGGACGAGAAGCUUGCUUUUCUGAUGUUAGCGGCGGACGGGUGAGUAACACGUGGAUAACCUACCUAUAAGACUGGGAUAACUUCGGGAAACCGGAGCUAAUACCGGAUAAUAUUUUGAACCGCAUGGUUCAAAAGUGAAAGACGGUCUUGCUGUCACUUAUAGAUGGAUCCGCGCUGCAUUAGCUAGUUGGUAAGGUAACGGCUUACCAAGGCAACGAUGCAUAGCCGACCUGAGAGGGGGAUAGGCCACACUGGAACUGAGACACGGUCCAGACGCCUACGGGAGGCAGCAGUAGGGAAUCUUCCGCAAUGGGCGAAAGCCUGACGGAGCAACGCCGCGUGAGUGAUGAAGGUCUUCGGAUCGUAAAACUCUGCUAUUAGGGAAGAACAUAUGUGUAAGUAACUGUGCACAUCUUGACGGUACCUAAUCAGAAAGCCACGGCUAACUACGUG